rnacentral:lncRNA from 1 species
GCGAGGUGACGAUAAAAUUCAAUGGUCUGUCAAUCCACUGACAAAUUUUGAUUGAUGUUAAACAUUGAAUCCCGACAGGUUCCGAUCGCUUUCUUCUUCUUCUUCUUCUUUUUUUUUAAAUUAAAUUUUCGUCAAUCAAUAUUUUUUUAAUUAACAAAUGGCAUAUGAUGAAUCUCUAUAAACAAAUGGGUAAUUUGCGUCUGAAUGCAUUUCCUUGAUGCUACAUCACCUUGGAGAACUGAUGCCAAAA